GCCAAUUAAUGCAUCUCGACUUUUUGGGAAGCCUGACUACAAGCAAGUAGCCCCCAAGGCCCCAGGUAAUGAUUGCUAUUUCCAUCUUUGUCCAGGAGAAAAAAAAAAAAAAAAACGAGCUGAAGACAGCCUUCAUUCCAAGAGUAUUUUGGGCCACUGAUUUUUAUCACCCAGAGUCUCUUGGAUCUGAAAGUUUUGGAGGUCAUCUGAGCUACCACUUUUUCUGGUUAGGUUCUCCAGAAAUCGAUACUGAGAUGGAGUUUGAAAUGGAGAAUAUUUAUUGGGAAUCAAGACCUGGAAAAAGAAGGGGAUAAAGGCACAUUGAGCAGAAGAGGAAGCUGAAUGGUGUUGGAGGACCAAUAAAACUUGUUCAACCCCAGAGAGAACUCUAGAA
rnacentral:lncRNA from 1 species